rnacentral:tRNA from 1 species
UAUUCUAGUUGGUUAGGAUACUCGACUCUCACUCGAGAGACCCAGGUUCAAGUCCUAG